AAAUUAUAUUAAGCAAGACAAAAGGUGCGUGUUUUCUCUCACAUGGGAAAGCUAGAUCUAAACUACACCAGGACUUGAUAAAUUAUACAGGACUCUAGGCAUUCA